UAAGGAACUCAUGAGGUACUGGUGAGUGUCAGCUGAGAUUUCAGACAUGUGUUGUAAAAUCUUAAACAUGCUACAAGUAUAAGAAGCCUGACUAUUCUCAGGGAGCGGCAACAUUUCAGGACUUCUUGGGUGGAAGAAAGUUGGCAGAGAGAAAGUCCACAGAGGAGUCUCUUAAUGAAUAUAAUGGCAGCAAAGAAGAGUGGCCACAGCUCACUCACCACGAUCUUUCCUCCAACUAGAAGCCUGUGCUGCAUCACCAGACCUUCAUUCUUGAUGUCCCAGGUUGGUCCCAUCCAGAAGUAGAAGCCACCAUGUUAGCUGGAAGAGUGGAUUUUCCAAGCUCCCAGCAGAAAGAAAAUCAAGAAUAAACUUGUGACU